rnacentral:rRNA from 1 species
CCUACGGGUGGCAGCAGUGGGGGAUAUUGCACAAUGGGGGAAACCCUGAUGCAGCGACGCCGCGUGAGUGACGAAGUAUUUAGGUAUGUACAGCUCUAUCAGCCGGGAGGCAAAUGACAGUACCUGACCCAGAAGCCCCGGCUAACUACAUGCCAGCAGCCGCGGUUAUACGUAGGGGGCAAGCGUUAUCCGGAUUUACUGGGGGUAAAGGGAGCGUAGUGGGUUAUGUAAGUCUGGAGUGAAAGUCCGGGGCCCAACCCCGGGACUGCUGUGGAAACUGUGUAACUGGAGUACAGGAGGGGCAGGCGGAAUGCGUGGUGUAGCGGUGAAAUGCGUAGAUAGCAGGAGGAACACCGGCGGCGAAGGCGGCCUGCUGGACUGAAACUGACGUUGAGGCACGAAAGCGUGGGGAGCGAACAGGAUUAGAUACCCGAGUAGUC